rnacentral:rRNA from 1 species
GACGAACGCUGGCGGCGUGCCUAACACAUGCAAGUCGAACGGAAUCCAAGGAGUGCUUGCACUCCUGAAGGUUGAGUGGCGAACGGGUGAGUAACACGUGAGAAACCUGCCCCGGACUCUGGGAUAACCCAAGGAAACUUGAGCUAAUACCGGAUACCCUCCUUUGGUCGCAUGGCCGUUGGAGGAAAGUUUUUCGGUCUGGGAGGGUCUCGCGGCCUAUCAGCUUGUUGGUGAGGUAACGGCUCACCAAGGCAACGACGGGUAGCUGGUUUGAGAGAACGAUCAGCCACACUGGAACUGAGACACGGUCCAGACUCCUACGGGAGGCAGCAGUGGGGAAUCUUGCGCAAUGGGCGAAAGCCUGACGCAGCAACGCCGCGUGCGGGAUGAAGGCCCUCGGGUUGUAAACCGCUUUCAGCAGGGACGAAAUUGACGGUACCUGCAGAAGAAGCACCGGCCAACUACGUGCCAGCCGCCGCGGUAG